UACGGAGGGGGCUAGCGUUGUUCGGAAUUACUGGGCGUAAAGCGCACGUAGGCGGAUAUUUAAGUCGGGGGUGAAAUCCCGGGGCUCAACCCCGGAACUGCCUUCGAUACUGGGUAUCUUGAGUUCGGAAGAGGUGAGUGGAAUUGCGAGUGUAGAGGUGAAAUUCGUAGAUAUUCGCAGGAACACCAGUGGCGAAGGCGGCUCACUGGUCCGAUACUGACGCUGAGGUGCGAAAGCGUGGGGAGCAAACAGG
rnacentral:rRNA from 1 species